UACAGAGGUCUCAAGCGUUGUUCGGAUUCAUUGGGCGUAAAGGGUGCGUAGGCGGCGCGGUAAGUCGGGUGUGAAAUCUCGGAGCUUAACUCCGAAACUGCAUUCGAUACUGCCGUGCUUGAGGACUGGAGAGGAGACUGGAAUUACGGUGUAGCGGUGAAAUGCGUAGAUAUCGUAAGGAAGACCAGUGGCGAAGGCGGGUCUCUGGACAGUUCCUGACGUGAGGCACGAAGGUCAGGGGAGCAAACGGG
rnacentral:rRNA from 1 species